GGGGGGGGGCUGGAGAUGGAGGGGACGUCUGACGAGCACGCCGCGUGAGCGAAGAGGCCUUCGGGUCGUAAGGCUCUGUUGUUAGAGAAGAACAGGGGUGAGAGUAACUGUUCACGCCUUGACGGUAUCUAACCAGAAAGCCACGGCUAAGUACGUGCCAGCAGCCGCGGUAAUACGUAGGUGGCAAGCGUUGUCCGGAGUUAUUGGGCGUAAAGCGCGCGCAGGCGGUCUCUUAAGCUGAUGUGAAAGCCCCCGGCUCAACCGGGGAGGGUCAUUGGAAACUGGGAGACUUGAGGACAGAAGAGGAGAGUGGAAUUCCAAGUGGAGGGGUGAAAUGCGUAGAUAUUUGGAGGAACACCAGUGGCGAAGGCGGCUCUCUGGUCUGUUACUGACGCUGAGGCGCGAAAGCGUGGGGAGCAAACAGGAUUAGAUACCCUGGUAGUCCACGCCGUAAACGAUGAGUGCUAAGUGUUAGGGGGUUUCCGCCCCUUAGUGCUGCAGUUAACGCAUUGGGCACUCCGCCUGGGGAGUACGACCGCAAGGUUGAAACUCAAAGGAAUUGACGGGGGCCCGCACAAGCGGGUGGAGCAUGUGGUUUAAUUCGAAGCAACGCGAAGAACCUUACCAAGUCUUGACAUCCUUUGACCAUUCUGGAGACAGAACUUUCCCUUCGGGGACAAAGUGACAGGUGGUGCAUGGUUGUCGUCAGCUCGUGUCGUGA
rnacentral:rRNA from 1 species